rnacentral:tRNA from 1 species
GUGCUUGUGGUGUAGUGGUAAUCACAUCCGCCUUACACGCGGAAGGUCCCAGGUUCGAUCCCUGGCAGGCACA